rnacentral:rRNA from 1 species
UACGGAGGGUGCAAGCGUUAUCCGGAUUCACUGGGUUUAAAGGGUGCGUAGGCGGACUUGUAAGUCCGUGGUGAAAUCUCCAGGCUUAACCUGGAAACUGCCAUGGAUACUAUAAGUCUUGAAUGUUGUGGAGGUUAGCGGAAUAUGUCAUGUAGCGGUGAAAUGCAUAGAUAUGACAUAGAACACCAAUUGCGAAGGCAGCUGACUACACAAAUAUUGACGCUGAGGCACGAAAGCGUGGGGAUCAAACAGG